rnacentral:rRNA from 1 species
GACGAACGCUGGCGGCGUGCUUAACACAUGCAAGUCGAACGGAAGGGCCCUGCUUUUGUGGGGUGCUCGAGUGGCGAACGGGUGAGUAACACGUGAGUAACCUGCCCUUGACUUUGGGAUAACUUCAGGAAACUGGGGCUAAUACCGGAUAGGAGCUCCUGCUGCAUGGUGGGGGUUGGAAAGUUUCGGCGGUUGGGGAUGGACCCGCGGCUUAUCAGCUUGUUGGUGGGGUAGUGGCUUACCAAGGCUUUGACAGGUAGCCGGCCUGAGAGGGUGACCGGCCACAUUGGGACUGAGAUACGGCCCAGACUCCUACGGGAGGCAGCAGUGGGGAAUAUUGCACAAUGGGCGGAAGCCUGAUGCAGCAACGCCGCGUGCGGGAUGACGGCCUUCGGGUUGUAAACCGCUUUCGCCUGUGACGAAGCGUGAGUGACGGUAAUGGGUAAAGAAGCACCGGCUAACUACGUG